UGAGGAAUAUUGGGGCAAUGGGCGCAAGCCUGACCCAGCAACGCCGCGUGAGGGAAGAAGGUUUUCGGAUUGUAAACCUCUGUCCUAUGUGACGAAGGAAGUGACGGUAGCAUAGGAGGAAGCCCCGGCUAACUACGUGCCAGCAGCCGCGGUAAUACGUAGGGGGCGAGCGUUGUCCGGAAUGAUUGGGCGUAAAGGGCGCGUAGGCGGCCCGUUAAGUCUGGAGUGAAAGUCCUGCUUUCAAGGUGGGAAUUGCUUUGGAUACUGUCGGGCUGGAGUGCAGGAGAGGAAAGCGGAAUUACCGGUGUAGCGGUGAAAUGCGUAGAGAUCGGUAGGAACACCAGUGGCGAAGGCGGCUUUCUGGACUGAAACUGACGCUGAGGCGCGAAAGCGUGGGGAGCAAACAGGAUUAGAUACCCUGGUAGU
rnacentral:rRNA from 1 species